GGACAUCUGAUGUGAAAGCCAUGUGUGAAUUUUUAUAAGCUCUGGGGGAGCGAUGGCCAUUCUGAUGAGGGUGCUAAGCUUAGUUCAUCUGCCUCCUUGACUGGACCCUCCACGGAGCUGAGGGGCCCACGGGGCUGUGGAUGAGUUAUUGGCUGAAGAAAGGUCCUGAGAGAAUUCAGCUUGGCUUUCGAAAAGUUUUCCCCCUUCAUUGAGCUAUGCAGGAUCUGAUGAAAGCAAGAAGGGGACGUUACCUCAGGAAGACACAGGAGGCAUUGCCCCCUUGGGGAGUGGAGCUGUGAAGUGGAGAAGGGCUCUCUGUGUUUCAAAACCUUCCUGUUCUGAUUCCCUCACUGCAGGGCGGGGCAGACCCCUCCCUGGAUGCUUCCAGGUACACGUCCUCCCUCUUGGAGCUCUUGGAAGGACUGGGGACAGACGGGUUGGUUCCCCCUCACCACCUCUGAUAACUAUGGACAGAGGGCACUCUGCAGCAAAGAAGCCGUCAGUUUGGAAAGGGGGUGAAUUAAGGUCUCCUGUAGCCCAGGAUGGCCCUAUGUAGCCGAGGAUGUCCUUAACUCCACCAGGACCUCCUAUCAUCACCCCUCAAGCACUGGGAUUACAUGUGUGCAGGGGUCAUCGCCUUUAGCUCCGCUCCUAUGACAUACUUAUCAAACAAUGAGCUCUACAAUCCAUAAACAGAAACCAGAAGA
rnacentral:lncRNA from 1 species